CAAUAGCGUAUAUUUAAGUUGUUGCAGUUAAAAAGCUCGUAGUUGGAUUUCGGGUGGGACGCAGCGGUCUCGCAUUGCGUUUGUACUGCUGCAGCCCUCCUUCUUGCCGGGGGCGGCCUCUCGGACUUCACUGUCUGGGGGUCAGAAUCGGCGAUGUUACUUUGAGUAAAUUAGAGUGUUCAAAGCAAGCUUACGCUCUGAAUAUAAUAGCAUGGGAUAACACGACAGGACUCUGGCCUAUCGUGUUGGUCUAUAGGACCAGAGUAAUGAUUAAGAGGGACAGUCGGGGGCAUUCGUAUUCCGUUGUCAGAGGUGAAAUUCUUGGAUUUACGGAAGACGAACAUCUGCGAAAGCAUCUGCCAAGGAUGUUUNCAUUG
rnacentral:rRNA from 1 species